rnacentral:rRNA from 1 species
AUUGAACGCUGGCGGCAUGCCUUACACAUGCAAGUCGAACGGCAGCACGGGAGCAAUCCUGGUGGCGAGUGGCGAACGGGUGAGUAAUAUAUCGGAACGUGCCCGGUCGUGGGGGAUAACGUAGCGAAAGCUACGCUAAUACCGCAUACGAUCUACGGAUGAAAGCGGGGGAUCGCAAGACCUCGCGCGAUUGGAGCGGCCGAUAUCAGAUUAGGUAGUUGGUGAGGUAAAGGGCUCACCAAGCCGACGAUCUGUAGCUGGUCUGAGAGGACGACCAGCCACACUGGGACUGAGACACGGCCCAGACUCCUACGGGAGGCAGCAGUGGGGAAUUUUGGACAAUGGGCGCAA